rnacentral:rRNA from 1 species
GACAGAGGGUGCAAACGUUGUUCGGAAUUACUGGGCGUAAAGCGCGUGUAGGCGGCUAUGCAAGUCGGAUGUGAAAGCCCUCGGCUCAACCGGGGAAGUGCACCCGAAACUGCAAAGCUAGAGUCUCGGAGAGGAUCGUGGAAUUCUCGGUGUAGAGGUGAAAUUCGUAGAUAUCGAGAAGAACACCAGUGGCGAAGGCGGCUCACUGGACGACUGUUGACGCUGAGGUGCGAAAGCGUGGGGAGCAAACAGG